GGCAUUUUCCAGUGCCUGCACCAAAUCAGGAAGCUCCUAGUCUGUGCCCCAAGAUCACGCCUCAUUUGGAGGUCACACGAGGCCUGGCUGGUGGGUCCUACCAGAGCACUGGAUCUGGAGAGUGGAGGAAGCACUGGGUGCCGGGGUUUGGGCUCGGGGCCAUGUACGCCUCCUCCGGGGUUUGGGCUCGGGGCCAUGUACGCCUCCUCCUACCCCCCACCCCAGCAGCUGUCCCCUAGAAGCCGCCUUUGCCCACCUCCACCCCACCCCAGCUCAAUAAUCUGCUUCUUCUAGAAGGAAGGAAAUCGUCUGUUCCCUCUGUAGCCCCCACUGGGAGCACCUCAGCUGCUGAGGACGGUGAUCUGCUGGCUCAGCCUUGGUACUCGGGGAACUGUGACCGCUAUGCUGUUGAGAGUGCCCUGCUCCACUUACAAAAGGAUGGGGCCUAUACCGUGCGCCCCAGCUCAGGGCCUCAUGGCUCCCAGCCCUUCACCCUGGCAGUGCUUCUCCGAGGCCGGGUCUUCAACAUUCCCAUCCGGCGGCUGGAUGGCGGACGCCACUAUGCCCUGGGCCGGGAGGGCAGGAACCAUGAGGAGCUCUUCUCCUCCGUGGCGGCCAUGGUCCAGCACUUCAUGUGGCACCCUCUGCCCCUUGUGGACAGACACAGCGGCAGCCGGGAACUCACCUGCCUGCUCUUCCCCACCAAGCCUUGAGGCCACAGCGAAGAAUGCAGGUGUCUGCCCAGUUCACUAGGUCCUGGAUGAAGGAACCGUGGUGGCCUAGACCAGUCAGGGGACAGCACAGGCACUGCCGGAACAGCAAAGGAUCCUCUCACAUCUACUUGUGGGCCUAGGGCACCCUGAGAGGGACUGGCCUACCUUGCACAAGUUCGCAUUCAAUAAACAUUUGUUGAAUGAA
rnacentral:sRNA from 1 species